UACGGGGGGGGCAAGCGUUGUCCGGAAUUAUUGGGCGUAAAGAGCUCGUAGGCGGUUUGUCGCGUCUGUCGUGAAAGCUUGGGGCUUAACCCCAAGUCUGCGGUGGAUACGGGCAGACUAGAGGCAGGUAGGGGAGAACGGAAUUCCCGGUGUAGCGGUGGAAUGCGCAGAUAUCAGGAGGAACACCAAUAGCGAAGGCAGCUCGCUGGGACGGUACUGACGCUAAGGCGCGAAAGCGUGGGGAGCGAACAGG
rnacentral:rRNA from 1 species